GACAGAGGUGCCAAGCGUUAGGCGGAAUCACUGGGCUUAAAGCGUGUGUAGGCGGAUCGUUAAGUGCCUUGUGAAAUCCCAUGGCUUAACCAUGGAACUGCUCGGCAUACUGGCGGUCUUGAGCCAUCUAGGGGCUACCGGGAACAAAUGGUGGAGCGGUGAAAUGCGUAGAUAUCAUUUGGAACGCCAAUGGUGAAAACAGGUAGCUGGGGAUGUACUGACGCUGAGGUGCGAAAGCGUGGGGAGCAAACAGG
rnacentral:rRNA from 1 species